GUGGCGGUGCUCUGUCUUCCCCAACCACGGCCACGAGAUGCUGGCCGCCAACAAAACUUUCUUCUGGUGACCACCUCGCUCGGUUGGGAAGAUUUUGGUUCAGAAAAUGGCCCGCCUUUGUGCUUCAUUUCGCUGCAAUGGUUAAUGACGCCCCCCUUGAAAUUAACCGGAGCUCCUCCUAGGCUGGUGGUGCCCUCCCGUGGUGUUGGGCUAGGCUCGCCAACGACACCACGCCGCCGCUGGGGGCGGCGACUACACCACCUCUGGUCACCCACUGAUUGGUGGCGGUGGUAUUAGAGACGGCCGGCGUAUUCCUCAACCACGACCAACACGAGGUGCUGGCCGCAACCACAACUCGCACCUGUUGCUGCUCGGGUCUCGCACCACAUGUCCAACCUCUACAUGC